GACGAGCCGUGCGAACGUUAUUCGGAAUCACUGGGCUUAAAGCGCGCGUAGGCGGCCCGGUAAGUCCGCUGUAAAAGUCAAAGGCUCAACCUUUGAAUGUCAGUGGAUACUGCCGGGCUAGAGUCCGGAAGAGGCGAGUGGAACUCCUGGUGUAGCGGUGGAAUGCGCAGAUAUCAGGAAGAACACCGACGGCGAAGGCAGCUCGCUGGGACGGUACUGACGCUGAGGCGCGAAAGCGUGGGGAGCGAACAGG
rnacentral:rRNA from 1 species